rnacentral:rRNA from 1 species
GAUGAACGCUGGCGGCGUGCUUAACACAUGCAAGUCGAGCGAGAAGUUUUGAAAAGAUUCUUCGGAUGAAAUUUAAAAUGGAAAGCGGCGGACGGGUGAGUAACGCGUAGGCAACCUGCCCCAUACAAAGGGAUAGCAUUUGGAAACGAAUAUUAAUACCUUAUGAAACUUAACUAGUGCAUGCUAGGUAGGUCAAAGAUUUAUCGGUAUGGGAUGGGCCUGCGUCUGAUUAGCUAGUUGGUGAGGUAACGGCUCACCAAGGCGACGAUCAGUAGCCGACCUGAGAGGGUGAACGGCCACAUGGGAACUGAGACACGGUCCAAACUCCUACGGGAGGCAGCAGUGGGGAAUAUUGCACAAUGGGGGAAACCCUGAUGCAGCAACGCCGCGUGAACGAUGAAGGCCUUUGGGUCGUAAAGUUCUGUUCUAGGUGACGAAAACUGACAGUAACCUAGGAGAAAGCCCCGGCUAACUCCGUG